GGAUGUGAGGGAGAUCUGGCUGCGAUAUCUGUCACCCCAUUGAUCGCCAGGGUCGAUUCAGCUGAUCUGGCUGGCUAGGCAGGUGUCCCUUUCCUCCCUCGCUGCUCCCUCCUGACAAGUGCUACUUGCUCUGUGGAAGAGGAGGACCUUUCCCAAUAGAGGAGCACUGUUCUUUGGUCAAGGGUAUGAGAUUCCCCUGCUAAAACCUGCAAAGGAGCUGCCCAGGUCCAUUUGUAGAACGUAAGGUAGUUAAGCUUCCAAGACUCCAGACACAUCCAAAUAGGGCACUGCAUGUGGCAGUCUGUCUGUCUUU
ensembl:misc_RNA 7SK 7SK RNA